rnacentral:lncRNA from 1 species
CUCUCGCAGCAUCUCUCUCGGCUCCUCUCGCUCUCCUUCAAAACCCUAAUUUUCUCCGGCGAUUUCUUUUGAUUUCUUCACCGGAAUCCAUUCCUUUAUCACAGAUAUUGCACUCUCCUGUAUUCAUCUCAUAGAUUUUGAGAAUGAAUUACAUUGCAUGCCGGGUUUGAGACAGAAAACUGAUUUCGAUCCUCCAUUUUGGCAUCGAUCAAUUGAUGUCAAGAGAAUGGACGAAAUCCACAGUGUUUUACAAGCUACAAUCGAUUUUUGCUUCAUUUUUAUGUUUCGAUUUUAAAACCCCUGCUUCAAAAUCGUGUGUUUUGUGGUGAAUCAACUCGAAAGCUGCUUAAUAUGCUUUUGUUGAACAAUCGGAGUUGAUUUAACAUUAAAACCCCAAAUUUGGUUUAAUAAUUUUAAAACCCUCGAAUUGGAAUAAUGAGUUU